GACGAACGCUGGCGGCGUGCUUAACACAUGCAAGUCGAACGGAAAGGCCCUGCUUUUGUGGGGUGCUCGAGUGGCGAACGGGUGAGUAACACGUGAGUAACCUGCCCUUGACUUUGGGAUAACUUCAGGAAACUGGGGCUAAUACCGGAUAGGAGCUCCUGCUGCAUGGUGGGGGUUGGAAAGUUUCGGCGGUUGGGGAUGGACUCGCGGCUUAUCAGCUUGUUGGUGGGGUAGUGGCUUACCAAGGCUUUGACGGGUAGCCGGCCUGAGAGGGUGACCGGCAAGAGAGGGAGGGGGAUACGGGCCGGCCGCCGGGGGGAGGAGGUGGUGGGGAGUAUUGAACGACGGGCGGGAGCGUGAGGCAGGGGCGUCGCGGGGGGGCGGACGGCGUGGGGUGGGAAACCCUCGUCGGCUUGUGAGGAUGCGGGGGGGGGGGUAAUGGGGAAAGGAGCACCGGCUAACGACGUGCCAGCGGCGGGGGUAAUAGGCGGAGGAGCCUACGUCUGAAC
rnacentral:rRNA from 1 species